CGUGUUUCCACGCAUGACCGUAGCUAGCCAACAUCGCCACGGCAUCACCUACAAGUGUGAUCGAGGAUUUAUAUUUAAGAAGCCGUUUUAGCCUAUCUUCAUACAGUACUGUCUUAGGGGUAACAACAUGAAUUGGUGCAUGGGGCAGAAAUAAUGCAGAGCGACUUGAGUUUCGCCAUCAGCUGGACCCUUUUCUCAGCCGAGGGAAGGAGAGCGGAGGGACGAUGAGUCAGGUGAGAGGCAGCCUCAGCGCUGCUCCCUCCCUCCCCUCAUGGCCUGCAUCUGAUGGCUACUUACAAAACCUGGUGGGUUUGUUGUUCAGCAGUGUCGUGGAAACCCCCCUACCAUAUCAGGCUCAGAAGGUUGAGGCAGAACACCAGUCCCACUUCAGAUGGAGGACAGGAUAGAUGGUUUGUCAUGGAGUCCCCUGACUAAAAGACAGUUUGCUACAAAUGUUUAAACUGCGAGAGACCUUGCACUCAGCAUUCAAAUUAUACAAGACAUGUAUUCUUCAAAACAUGUCUGGGAACUGUUUUAUAUGGGAUACCAUACGAAGGGUUGGGUUACAGUCCGUCUAUCGACAUGUCUGUAGACUAUUGUCGUAGCGACAUCAAACUUUUCGUUGUAGUUAUGAAGCAGCCCAGUGCUCUAAAUAGCCUACUUUCUCUAUUUUAAACCCUUCCGUUUUACUGAAUUCAUUUUUAAUGUCAACCUAGCAAGCCAGGCAACUAAAAGCAAUUUUCUACACAAUGUUUUUGUUUGUUGCUAGCUAGUUAACAAGUUCAAAUAAAAAGUAUAACUGACAAACACAUUCUGAUUGGCUGGGCCUGGCUCCCAAGUGGGUGGGCCUAUGCCCUCCAAAGCCCACCCAUGGCUGCGCCCUGCCCAGUCAUGUGAAAUCCAUAGAUUAUGGUCUAAUGAAUUUAUUUAAUUGACUGAUUUCCUUAAAUGAACUGUAACUAGGGCUAUCACCAACUAAAAAAAAUAUGCGCAAGGGAUGAGAAGCAGUGCUUGACUUAGGCAGUAGCUCACCAGAGCCGAGUACUAGCACCUCAAAUGUUCUACUGCUUGAGCUCCUGUUCCUCUUAUAGAAUAUUAGCUCAAAAGUAUUGUGCACUUAAAUAUAAACAGUCCAAGUCAAGCA